GACGAACGCUGGCGGCGUGCUUAACACAUGCAAGUCGAACGGAAAGACCCUGCUUUUGUGGGGUGCUCGAGUGGCGAACGGGUGAGUAACACGUGAGUAACCUGCCCUUGACUUUGGGAUAACUUCAGGAAACUGGGGCUAAUACCGGAUCGGAGCUCCUGCUGCAUGGUGGGGGUUGGAAAGUUUCGGCGGUUGGGGAUGGACUCGCGGCUUAUCAGCUUGUUGGUGGGGUAGUGGCUUACCAAGGCUUUGACGGGUAGCCGGCCUGGGAGGGGGACCGGCCACAUUGGGACUGAGAUACGGCCCAGACUCCUACGGGAGGCAGCAGGGGGGAAUAUUGCACAGUGGGCGGAAGCCUGAAGCAGCAACGCCGCGGGCGGGAUGACGGUCUUCGGGUUGUAAACCGCGUUCGCCUGUGACGAAGCGUGAGUGACGGUAAUGGGUAAAGAAGCACCGGCUAACUACGUG
rnacentral:rRNA from 1 species